rnacentral:lncRNA from 1 species
AUGAAAAACGCUUAUUCUUUCUUUCUGCGUCUUCCUUUAUUCACUUUCCAGCCUCCCGAGGGGCCUUUUCUUCUCCUGAGCGGGCGCCAUCGCCGCUCCCGCUGCCUAACUGGACCGAGGGAGGCUGAGAGUGGAAGGAGGAACCAAUGGGGCGCUUUAGGUGGGGUGGGGAUGCUGCUGUCUUCGCCACAGCUGCUGGCAAGUGCGUCUCCUUUGUCUAACGCCGUCCCAGCGAGGCACACACUCUCCACGCACAAAUUCACACAGACGCACACACGUGGAGGAAUUCUGGCUUCAAUCAAGGGACCCCAUGGGAGAGAGGAAAGGGCCCUAAGCCAUGAGACAGGGGCUGGCUCUGCUAAGUGGGGAGGGAGGUUCUGUUCUGGCCUGAUAAGUCAUCUAUUUGAAUGGAUCGUCAUUCUCACAGAUGGGGAGAGAAAGAGAGGGAGCGCGCUGCACCUUGGCGAAGAAAAGGGAGGAGGAGGAUGCCGAGGAGGAGGAGGAAUUAAUUUUUCCCCUCUGGGAGAAACACAUGCUGGAUCUCAAGAGUUGGAGGGAAUCUUCCCAUCUUGCUCUGAUUGGCAUUAAGAGGGUGGAGGGGGGGAGCGGAAAGGAUGAGAGGGAACGAGAUGCCAUGGUUGUUACUAAUGAUUUAUUGUGUGAAAUGUGAACGGUGCUGUGGUGGGUGCUUGUCGUUCAGGCUUUUUCGCUGUGGGAUUGGUUUAUGUCUGUGAGCUUCACUAAAUGCAUUAUCAGGUAUGUAAGACCUGAACAACUGGGACUUCUGCUUCACGCUUAUGGAAACACAAAAACUUUAAAAGUAGUUUCCAAACCUCGGAAAUAAUAAAGUGCUUAUUGUUCAGCA